ensembl:snoRNA
AGUUCAUUUCAAAGAGGGCUGUGGGCUGUGAAACCAGGAGCUCUUAACUCUGUGACGAAAGAUUGAAGUUCUUCAUUGGAUGCCAUAAUCACUCAACAGUGCUAAGUUUUUCUGAGGAGAUACAAAA